CAGAAGAAACUACACAUACCACGACGGGUAUAAUAAUACCCGACGUGGAAAGUGUGUACUUACAACGUCGACUGCAUUUACUACUGGCCGCGGCCAGUAGUGGAAAGUCUGUUUGGCCAGUAGUUGUAUCUCCUUUCUGCACUAGUGACCUCACCACAAUCAAAGCAGAGAACACACUAACAUUUUCUACUAUAAUCAAAGCUUCUACGUUAUUAAUUGUUUCUGAAAGAACUAGUUAUAGCAACAAAAUCAAGUUUGAUUAUAUAAAAGUUUAUUUCUCAUGGCUCCUGCUACGGGUAGUAUGAUCCAAAUAUCAAUACUUCAAACACCAAAUUAUGAAUCAUCUCCAAAAAAUGUGAACAGAAUAUGUGCAUAUAGAGGAAAACAACCGAUAGACAGAGUAAAAGCAGGAGGAGGAAGUGGUGCACAAAAAAACAGCUUAGGUUAUGCCACCAACAGCUUGAGUCUCAAUAGUGAUCAAAAUGAUCAAAACACAAGUCCUAGAAGUAUUUGCAACAUGGAUUAUGAUUAUGAAAUAUAAAUUUUUUAAUAAUUCUCCAUGAUUUCUCACCAACUGUAAUUAUAUAUAUGUAAUAUAGAGGUUUUGAGUAUUAAAUAGUUUAGUAAUACUUUUCUUCUUGAUGGAAUGAAAAAAAUUAUAAUUAGCUUUGUAGUUCAUCUUAUAUAUUGUCAAUGCCCUAUUUUAUUUCAAUUAAAUUUAUGUUUUUAUUUUCCUUUUUAUUUUUCUUUGGAUAAGGCCUUAAAUUUAUGUUUUUAAUUUUGGUUUAAUUGUUUUUAAAAGUGUUUGCACUCCGAAGCUCAAAUCAAUAUUUGUUCAGAGUGAGAGAAUGUAAUUGGAUAAAAAUCUGUGUACCUUGAAAAUGAAUGAACAAGUGCAUAUGUAGGAUAAUGACGUGCAUAACCGUUUGGUGGGAUCCAUCAUGUGAGUAAAAUGAGUCACAAAUAUAUUUUGCGGGGGUCAUUUAUAAGCUAUUGUUCGCGUAUUGUAAGAGUAUAUUUGAUCUGGACAUGGGUCAUUUAUGCUACUGAUGAUGUUCCAUCAAGGGUGAUAAGCCAUAAUGAAGUGUUUAACGGAUUUGAGAUCUUCUUGGGUCUUUGGAUAAGGCCUCUGGCCAGUCCGGGACAGUUGCCCUCCAUAUUUUGCUAUGGUACUAACACUGGCCUCUAAUACCGAAACUUUAGUCUUUUUUAACUUGGACACAAAGAUUAAGAAAUACUAGUAGUUAUAAACCUUUUCAGCUUAUUUGCCCCUCAUUAUUUUUUUUAUUCACAUUUGUUUAUUAAAUUUGUACUACAAGAACACGUAAUACAUUUGCAAGCUUGCUCACUUGCUUUUCCAAGAACAAUUUUUUCACCAAAUUGAGAGAAUCCACUCUCUAGUUUGUGAAGUGUAUAAAUAUGUGAGGGCAACCUCACACUUGAAGCUAACUUUUGGGGUUGAGAUCCAAGCAUAUUUAACAUGGUAUCAGAGUCUGGUUAAGGACUACAAUGUGGGCAUUUGACCCAGGACCACGUUAAGCGUGAGGGUGAGUGUUGAAUAUGUUGGUUGUUGUGUUGUCAGAGUUUGUUUGAAAUUUCAUAUUGCUUAGGUUUCCGGGAUGUGAAUGUAUAAAUAUGUGAGGGCAACCUCACCCUUGGAGCUAGCUUUUGGGGUUGAGAUCCAAGCAUAUUUAACAUAGUUCGACAACUGCAUGCAACUCUUCACAUACCUAGUUCCACGUCGUUUUAACUUUUUGUUUUUUAACAAGGGUAUAAAUUAAAAAAAUGUAUAAUUGUUUCUUGGUUUCUUAAGAGGACUAAGGUUUUCGGACAAAAUUAAAAUCUUAAAAGGAUCAAAGUUCCGGGACGAAUAGUCAGUGGCGGAGCUAGACUAAAAUGUCGGGGUGGGCCGUAGCGUAGUAUGAAUUUUUUGUUUUAGGGGCCAUUUAUAUAUGAAGAGAGAUCAAACGACACUUGUAUAAUAUUUUAUCAAUAUUACACUACUUUUUUUUACAAUAAUAAAUAUUACGUUACUUAAUAAUUUAAACGAAUACAAAUUUAACAAAAUACAUAGUUGGAUUAAAAGUUUGUAUUAUAUAGACCAUUUAAUAAAAUUUUAAAACCCAUAAAGAUUUACUAUUUCAAUAAAAUGACAUAAAUAUUUAAUCUAAGUAAGAUCAUAUAAAUAAGUUUUAACGAAAAGCAUGACGUAGGAAGUUGAACACACCACCCUUUGGUAAAAAUUACGCAACAUUACCACUAGGCUAGACAAAACAACCUAUAAUUAUCCGAACCUAAUAAUAUAUAUAUAACGAUGUAUAUAAAAAUAUGUAUAUAGUAUAACUAUAUAUAUAUAUACCUAUUAAAAAUCGAAAAUUUCGGUUCCGCCCCUGCGAAUAGUAAGGAUUUGAAUCUCAUGGAGUCAGAACUGGAGCAUAUCUUCAGAGGAAAGGAUUUGAACGAGUACAGAUGUAUUUUAGCAAACGCAUACUCAGAAACAAUGCUCACCAAUGUAACUUCAGAAGUAAUCAUAUAUGUUACACUAAAUAUAACACUUUUUGCAUUUGAAUUUUGAUUUAUCAUGUAAGAAUUUAAUUUUUCCACCAAACUCAUAUUGGUUGGUUACUAAUUAAUAAAAAUAUCUAUAAUUUUCUUUCACUUCUAUAUAGGCCUAGCUCAAGGUAGAAGCUUAGUGUAUCAAAUGGGGUAGCCAAAAAGCUAAUCUAAAAUAUAUUUUUUAUCUGAAUAAUAAGUUAGUAUAUUUUAUAAUUAGUUACUUCAAUAAAAUAUACUUUUUUUUUUUACAUAUACUUCUAUAAAAUAUACUUAACUAUUGUAAAAGUGUUUAUUUGUCCAGUGAACUCUUAAUUGGCAGGGAUUGCAUUAUAUAUGCAGAGGGUUGAGGGUUGGGGUUGGAAUCUCGGUUAUUUCAUUAAUCCACUUUAAAAGUGGAAUUUCUAGCCACUAGACUAUUUAGAAAAAAAAAUCAAAAAAUAUUCAUUUUUUAUUUGAUAGAUAUUUUUCAUCUUAUUUUAACUCUUUCCAUUUCUUAAACAACUAAAAACAAUGCUUCAUUCACAAUAAAAAUUAUCUUUAAAACAACAUUCAAAAUAUACUUUUUAAAAUUUAACCCUUAUAAGAAAAUGAUUCUCUCUUUAUUAUCCAAAAAAACAAAUUGAUGUUGAGAAAAUAAUCGAAAAAAAUCUCCACACAAUAAAUAAAACUAAACAGAAUCUUCAACAAAUAAAUAAAAACCAAACCUGCAUUAAUAUAAUACUAAAUCUGUAAUUUUUACAAUGCGAAAUUGUAAACCCUCCUCUCAUGACUCACAACUACCCUAGCCCUAAACUUUUAAGAAAAAAGUUGUUGUGGGGAAAAAAACUCAACAUAACUCUGCAUAUUUAUAAUAGCAUUCUACCGCUUUUUCCUUUCAACUACUCGAUGUGAGACCAGCAGCAGACCUAGGGGGGCUGGGGAGGGCCAUGGCCCACCUCCAAAAAAUGUGAAAUUACUUAAAUACCCUUGGGAGCUUUAUGAAAUUAAACCUAUCUACUAUAUAUAUAUUUGUUGUGGUAUAAACAAUUUAAACUUAGAGUUCAGCCUAGUGGUUUGUUACAUGAUUUUAUGGCAAGAGGUUGCGUGUUCAACUCCCUCUUCUAUUAUUUUUUGCAUUUUCUUCUUUUUCUUUAAAAAAUUCAUGUUUAAUACCCAUAAUUUGAACCCAUGGAGAGUUGGAAACCAAAACAAUUCCUCGAACCACUUAACCAAACACAUUUUUCAUAAAAUGUUAAUUUUCAUGUAUAUAUCAAUACAAAAAAUAGACAAUUUUGUUUUACUUUUAUAAAAAAAUCACAACUAUUUUCAAUUAAAAAUAAUCAUUAUCUUUUAAGCAAUAAAAUAUAUAAUUUUUUAUGAUCCAACUUGUAUAAAUAUUAAUUUAAAAUAAAUCAUUGAUAAUUUUUCAAGUUAUUUGGAACACGUAGAAUAUUAUUUAAAGCAUGAAAUUAAAUUUUUGUAUAAAAUAUAAUUUUUAUAUUUAAUUUAAAUAUUAUAAUUUUUUUGCGGCGCACCCAAGAAUUAUUUUCCAGUUCCGCAGUUGUGUGGGACUUCUUGAACGAAUAUCCACGUCACUGAACUCAAGCUACGUGAUUUAACCAACCAUGUCAACGGUCUUCCUCAUAUUUGAUAACUUUGAAAAGAGAAGGAACGUGUACAAAGUCUACAUUCCAAUUUGAUCAAUUAUAUUCUUAUGUCCCCAUGUAAAAGUGCUAAUUAAUAAUAUGUGUCACAAUCCUAAUUACAAAAGGUGAUCCAUUGGUGCUCGUAUCAGAAUAUACAACUCUUUUUUUUUAGCCGAAGAUAAUCCUGUUGAAAAAUUAUCAAAUACUAGAUGUAAAAAAAGAUUAUCCAACAACCCCAUUUGAUACUUAGUCAAAUAAAGUGCCACGACAAAAUGUUAACCACAAAAUAUAUACGAGAAUAAUAUAAGUUGUGUUUGAUAUGCUAAAAAAAUAAGAGACUUGGCAUGAGAAUUUCAAUUGUAAUUUGAUUCUAAAAUUGUCUCGCACGAAACUACAUGACAAUUUGUUUUUCUCUAUACAAGUUAUUUAAAAUACCAAACUUAACUACUUUAUCCGACAAACAUACAAAGUUCAAUAUCUUAAAUAGUUGUGUUGUGUUGUUCUGUCAUGUAUUGUUCUAUCUAAUAGUUAUUUUCGAAACUAAACUACACACUUAAAAUGCUUAAAGGACAUCUCAAAAUUUGGAGCAGAGAGGUUUUUUGUAAUCUUGAUCUUAGGAUCAAACAAAUACACUAGCAAACUCUAAGAAUGUGUUUGGAUGAGGGAAUGUUUUGAGAUAAUGCAGCGAAUUUCAUUACUUAAUGAAAUUUAAAAAUCAAAGAAAAGUGGAUUCCCUAGUAUUUAAAUUCUCUAAUCCCUCUUUGGCAAUUCAAAUAUUGAGUUUGAUUUUAUGCAAAUAUUAAUUGAGUUUCAUAUAUGCGGUAGAAACAGAGGUGUAGCAGAAGAGAUUAGAAGCAAAAUUCGGAGCAGAAGCAUAUAUUAUUUUGGAGAAAACCAGAAGCAUAUAUUAUUACAUGGUCAUCAGUUACAUAUCAUCGACAAAAGCUUCAUUAGGAAAUUUGGAAGGUAUAAAUGUAUUAAUGAUUUUUGCUUUUAUAGGAGGCCAACAUUUUUUUUUUCCUUUUACUUUUGCUUGGUCAAAGGGAGCAACAGCAUUCUAUUUUGCAUGGUUUUAUAUCCACCAAUUUGUUCGCAUGGUUUCAACAAAAAAAAAAANNNNNNNNNNNNNNNNNNNNNNNNNNNNNNNNNNNAAAACACAAGAUAAAAAGAGAUGUUGUUAAAAGUUUCAUAUCGGAUGUGAGAUGACCUGAAUACACGUUUAUAAAUAAGAGACAAUUCUUACCUUAUAAGCCGAUUUUGUACGUGAGGACCGACUGUUACUUAUAAUCAGAUAUUUAAUUAUUAUUGUGAAUACUGAUAUUUAUUUUUUUUAUGACCGUGUGAAUACUGAUAUCAAAUAUUGUAUAAAUUUUUUUGGAUCAUUGAUGACUUCGUUCUCGGCUAUCUGAAGUUCAAGAAAUACUUCUCUAGGCACAAACCCAAAUAUUUGUUGUUAGGCACACUCACAAAAUAUACAAAAGAAAAGUAAAAAAUGGUUAAAAUAAUACUCCCUCCGUCUCGAAUUAUAAGAGAAAAUAAAAAAAUCACACUUAUUAAGAAAAAAUAAAACAUAAGAAUUUGAAAUAUGUUUUUGUGAGUUUUCCUUGGAAUAAGUUGCAUAGGAAGAUGUAAAAACAAUUUUUAUUGGUUGUUGUUUAUUGAGAAAAUGGUAGAAAGAGAAAAUUAAAUGCAAUUUGCAUUUAAUUUUAUGAAAAUAAGGAAAAAAUAUUCUUGAAAAUGACUUUCUCCCUUAUAAUUUGGGACAAAAAAAAUGAGUUUUUUUCCCUUAUAAUUUGGGACGGAGGGAGUAUAUUUUAUGUGUUGGGUUUUGGGCUCCCUUCCUUCCUAUGUGGAGAAAAGUCUAAUAUUAUUGUCUCAUCAUGUCUCACUUAUAUAAGUGGAGAGUGGUCAUACUAGGGUAAUUAUGUGAGUAAAUUUUGUGAGAGAACAACCUUCAAAAAGAGAGAAAACAAUUCCCGUUUUUCUCAAAUCAGUCCCACUAAAACUCUGAUUCCCGAUUCGUUAACCUUGGAUAUCGCUCAAACUGAGGACAUGUUCGCAGCUCCAGAGGCUAUCUUUUGACCGUUCGGAUCGUCGAAACAAGGUCUGUUUCGUGAGAUAUUCUGCUCGCAAUACAGCAGGUUUUUUGGGAAAAUUUCAGUUUCUUGUUCUUAUUUUGUAAGCUUUAGUGUUUUGUUGUGUAAUUGAUUGUUACCACUUGUUUGUGUCUCACUUGGAGACUCUUUUGUACCCUUAUUUGAUUAUAGUGGAACUAUUUCUUUGGUCUGGACGACCCUGUUGAGGCAAAAUCCACCUUUGAUGUUUUAAAGAUUACAAACAUCUUUAAUUAUAUUUUAAAUGAUUCUGAUCAUUUUGUUAUCUAACAAGUGCUUUUGAGUGGCAUAAUAAGAUUAAAUAGAUUCUAACAAACCACUUGCAAAGUAAAAAUCCUGCAAAGCUGUUUCAAGAUCAUUCUGAGAACAUUCUUAGCAGACAGACUGCAGUUUUGCCUAUAAGCACGUUUUGGAAAUAAGUGCUUUCUGGUUUUUCAAGUCAACUAAGAAUAAAACAAAUAAGCACUUUACNNNNNNNNNNNNNNNNNNNNNNNNNNNNNNNNAAGCAUAUGCUUUCCUAGUCAUGUGAUGAAUCAUAAGCAUUGAUCUCUCAUGAUCUUUUAUGGUAUUGAUCAUCCAAUGAAAACACCUGAUCAAAUAUCCUAGACCAAUCAGAAUAUUUAACUCUUUUUUUUAGCCGAAGAUAAUCCUGUUGAAAAAUUAUCAAAUACUAGAUGUAAAAAAAGAUUAUCCAACAACCCCAUUUGAUACUUAGUCAAAUAAAGUGCCACGACAAAAUGUUGACCACAAUCCAACUACUACUUGUUCAAGAUUGAAAAUGUGAAUUGAUAAAAAUAAAAAUAAAAAGGUUGAAAAUAUGAAAUUAAUUACGCGUUAUAUUUUCCUUCAAUAAUUCCUAACUACUAUAUAUAUAAAUCAAACUUUCAACCUUACCAUAAGAUACAACAACAAAACAAAGAACACACUAACAUUUUCUACUAUAAUCAAAUUGCUUCUACGUUAUUAAUUGUUUCUGAAAGAACUAGUUAUAGCAACAAAAUCAAGUUUCAUUAUAUAAAAGUUUAUUUCUGAUGGCUCCUGCUACGGGUAGUAUGAUCCAAAUAUCAAUACUUCAAACACCAAAUUAUGAAUCAUCUCCAAAAAAUGUGAACAGAAUAUGUGCAUAUAGAGGAAAACAACCGAUAGACAGAGUUAAAGCAGGAGGAGGAAGUGGUGCACAAAAAAACAGCUUACUUCAAAGCACAACUACAUCAUCAAGAAAUCUUCAACUUGACAACAUUUAUGCUACCAACAGCUUCAGUCUCAAUAGUGAUCAAAAUGAUCAAAACACAAGUCCUAGAAGUAUUGGCAACAUGGAUUAUGAUUAUGAAAUAUGAAUUUUAUUCUCUUCUUAAUAUAAAUUUUGAUAAGAAUUCACCAUGAUUUCACACCAACUGUAAUUAUAUGUGUAACAUAGAGGUUUUGAGUAUUAAAUAAUUUUCUUCUUGAUGGAAUGAAAAAAUUAUAAUUACCUUGAAGUUCAUCUUAUAUAUUGUCAAUGUCUUAUGUUGUAAUUGCCUUGAAAUCUCAGAGAUCAGAAAAUUACAUAAGUAGUGUAGGUGUUGCACUGGGCGCGACACGUAAUUGCAGUGGCGUGUGACCAGUUCGUCACUACCUUGGGCGCGACACCCAUUAGCAGUAGUGUAUUUGGCUUGAACCAAUUCUGCUUGUUGCGCAAGGCGCAGGCAAGCUAGCGCGGCACGCGAGCUCGCAGUGCCUUUGACAGGUAGUCCGUUUUCAAAGUUUAGUAACGGGGUUUUAGGGUUUUUGAGGCCAACAUACAAGUCAGGGUUAUAAGAUAAUUUUUUGGGCAAACACUAGGGUUGGGUAUUGAUUCAUCACCUUGGGAAACAAUUGAAUCUCUUGGUCACGGGAAGAGAUUCGGGAAAAGUACUUUAUUUGAAAGUGGAACGAAGAGUUGCUCUUUUGCGAAGAGUAGGUCAUUUUAGACCGAACUGGAUAAACAAUUUUCCGUGUUCUUUAUCACUUUCACCAUUUUAUCUUUUGUUUGCGAUUAAUUGUCGUUCUCGCUUAUUGGUUGCUUAAUUUAAUUUGCUCAACGCAUCAAUUUUUUUUGGUGUGUUUCUCGUCGAAUUCACAACACCCUAUUUUAUUUCAAUUAUUUGUAUUUCUAUUUUCAUUUUUGAAAUAAAUAAUUAAUGACUUAGGGUCUGUUUGGUUCGAGGUAGAUGCAUGGGAGGGGAGGUGAGGGGUAAUACUUUUCUUCUUGAUGGAAUGAAAAAAUUAUAAUUAGCGCUUUGUAGUUCAUCUUAUAUAUUUUCA
rnacentral:lncRNA from 1 species